GGGUAUUUACUUAGUUUCUUAAAACAUUAAUUAUUCUUUCCCUUUUUUUGUACUGCAGGUCUUCCGACCCCGAACUCCACCAGAGGCAAUUGCACUGUGUAGCCGUCUGCUGGAGUAUACGCCAACUGCCCGACUAACACCACUGGAAGCUUGUGCACAUUCAUUUUUUGAUGAAUUACGGGACCCAAAUGUCAAACUACCAAAUGGGCGAGACACACCUGCACUCUUCAACUUCACCACUCAAGAACUGUCAAGUAAUCCACCUCUGGCUACCAUCCUUAUUCCUCCUCAUGCUCGGAUUCAAGCAGCUGCUUCAACUCCCACAAAUGCCACAGCAGCCUCAGAUGCUAAUACUGGAGACCGUGGACAGACCAAUAAUGCUGCUUCUGCAUCAGCUUCCAACUCCACCUGAACGGUCCCCAGCAGCCAGCUGCACAGGAAAAACCACCAGUUACUUGAGUGUCACUCAGCAACACUGGUCACGUUUGGAAAGAAUAUUAAAAAGAGAAAAAAAACCUGUUCAUUUUAGUGUUCAAUUUUUUUAUUAUUAUUGUUGUUCUUAUUUAACCUUGUAA
rnacentral:lncRNA from 1 species